AUUUAUUUGGGCACCGAGCC
rnacentral:snRNA from 1 species